rnacentral:rRNA from 1 species
UACCCUGGUAGUCCACGCCGUAAACGAUGCUAACUCGUUUUUGGGUUUUCGGAUUCAGAGACUAAGCGAAAGUGAUAAGUUAGCCACCUGGGGAGUACGUUCGCAAGAAUGAAACUCAAAGGAAUUGACGGGGGCCCGCACAAGCGGUGGAUUAUGUGGUUUAAUUCGAUGAUACGCGAGGAACCUUACCAAGGCUUAAAUGGGAAUUGAUCGGUUUAGAAAUAGACCUUCCUUCGGGCAAUUUUCAAGGUGCUGCAUGGUUGUCGUCAGCUCGUGCCGUGAGGUGUUAGGUUAAGUCCUGCAACGAGCGCAACCCCUGUUACUAGUUGCUACCAUUAAGUUGAGGACUCUAGUAAGACUGCCUACGCAAGUAGAGAGGAAGGUGGGGAUGACGUCAAAUCAUCACGGCCCUUACGCCUUGGGCCACACACGUAAUACAAUGGCAGGUACAGAGGGCAGCUACACAGCGAUGUGAUGCGAAUCUCGAAAGCCUGUCUCAGUUCGGAUUGGAGUCUGCAACUCGACUCUAUGAAGCUGGAAUCGCUAGUAAUCGCGCAUCAGCCAUGGCGCGGUGAAUACGUUCCCGGGCCUUGUACACACCGCCCGUCAAGCCAUGGAAGUCUGGGGUACCNGAAGUCGGNGACCGUAAAAGGAGC